CGGGGUGAGUAACGCGUGGAUAACCUGCCUCACACUGGGGGAUAACAGUUGGAAAUGACUGCUAAUACCGCAUAAGCGCACAGUACCGCAUGGUACAGUGUGAAAAACUCCGGUGGUGUGAGAUGGAUCCGCGUCUGAUUAGCCAGUUGGCGGGGUAACGGCCCACCAAAGCGACGAUCAGUAGCCGACCUGAGAGGGUGACCGGCCACAUUGGGACUGAGACACGGCCCAA
rnacentral:rRNA from 1 species